rnacentral:ncRNA from 1 species
GCAGGAUGAGCCCGCGGCCUAUCAGCUUGUUGGUGAGGUAACGGCUCACCAAGGCGACGACGGGUAGCCGGCCUGAGAGGGCGACCGGCCACACUGGGACUGAGACACGGCCCAGACUCCUACGGGAGGCAGCAGUGGGGAAUAUUGCACAAUGGGCGCAAGCCUGAUGCAGCGACGCCGCGUGAGGGAUGACGGCCUUCGGGUUGUAAACCUCUUUCAGCAGGGAAGAAGCGCAAGUGACGGUACCUGCAGAAGAAGCGCCGGCUAACUACGUGCCAGCAGCCGCGGUAAUACGUAGGGCGCGAGCGUUGUCCGGAAUUAUUGGGCGUAAAGAGCUCGUAGGCGGCUUGUCGCGUCGGUUGUGAAAGCCCGGGGCUUAACCCCGGGUCUGCAGUCGAUACGGGCAGGCUAGAGUUCGGUAGGGGAGAUCGGAAUUCCUGGUGUAGCGGUGAAAUGCGCAGAUAUCAGGAGGAACACCGGUGGCGAAGGCGGAUCUCUGGGCCGAUACUGACGCUGAGGAGCGAAAGCGUGGGGAGCGAACAGGAUUAGAU